rnacentral:tRNA from 1 species
UCCCUGGUGGCUCAGAGGGUAAAGCAUCUGCCUGCAAUGCGGGAGACCUGGGUUCAAUGCCUGGGUGGGGAA